rnacentral:rRNA from 1 species
AUGGCCUCUGGUCAGGUGAUCACUUUGGAUCUCAGUGAUCGUAACCUGCGGAGCAUCAAUGGUCUCAGCGCAGCACUAUUCCACCUCACCUCUCUCAGAAAUCUCAGCCUCUCGGAUAACGACUUUAACCAAGCCAUCCUUCCUAGUUUCGGGUUUGAGCGGCUGACUGAGCUACUCAGUCUUGAGUUGUCUGGUACAGGAUUGGCUGGUCAGAUACCUAUUGGAAUUGCCUGCCUCGUGAAAUUGCUUACGCUAGAUUUCUCUGGGAAUAGUUUAUUAUACCUCCGAGAGCCAAGCCUUCAGACUCUCAUAGCAAACAUGAGCAAUCUGAGACUCUAUCUAGAUAAUGUGGGCAUCAUAAGUAGCGAAUCAAUCUGGUCUGUUGCUUUAGCAAACUCCGUUCCUCUACUACAGGAUAUUAGUUUGCUUCAAUGUGGAGUAAGUGGUCAUAUUCACAAUUCAUUCUCCCGACUCCGUUUUCUAGCAACAAUCAACCUUGCAAGUAACAUAAUUUCCGGCAUGGUUCCUGGAUUCUUUGCAGAAUUCUCUUUCUUAAGAGACAUUGAUCUCUCGGAUAAUGAUUUUGGAGGGCAAUUUCCCACAAAUAUUUUCCAGCUAAAAACUCUGAGAUUUCUUAACAUGGCCUACAACCCCCGUCUUUCUGUGCAACUACCACAUUUCCCACCAGGAAAUAGUUUGGAAUUUUUAGACCUGAGGUAUACAAACACUUUGGGUGCCAUACCAGACUCUUUUGUCCAUCUCAAGUCACUGAAAUUCUUGGGCCUUAGUAACAUAGGAUCUCCCAAGCAAGCCACUACUUCUUCCAUAGUAGCUAACCUUACAUCCCUAAAUACAUUGUUGCUCUACGGGUCAGGAAUAGAGAAGCCAAUACUCUCUUGGGGAAGACUUCAGAAUCUGACGGAAUUGAUGCUGGUAGAUUAUAAUUUCUCUGGCCCAAUUCCUUGGUGGAUCACAAAUUAUACGAAUUUGAUGAGACACGCUGUCAGUAAUGUCAGUUUAUCUGGGGCAAUACCAUCGCGGAUUGAAAACUUAACCAAGCUUACAUUUUUGGACUUAUCAUAUAAUAGGCUGAGCGGUAAAAUCCCAAAGGCUCUGUUCACUCUUCCGUCGUUGCAAGAAGUAGUACUAUCAUCACAUGAACUUUGUGGAACUCUAGAAGACAUUCCAGACCCAAUAUCUUCCUUCCUGCACGACAUCGACCUAAGCAAUAACAACCUUGCAGGUCAUAUACCCAAAUCAUUCUUUGAACUUUCGAGACUUCAAGUUCUCUUGCUUGACUCGAAUCACUUCGAAGGCACAGUAGAACUUAGCCUUCUUUGGAAGCUAAAGGCACUGGAUUCAUUGUCGCUCUCCAAUAAUAUGUUAUCAGUCAUAGAUGUUGAGGAUGGAUAUCCAUUUUCUUACCCCCAUAACAUCAGAAAACUAGAACUAGCAUGUUGCAACCUUACAAAAAUUCCAAUUGCAUUGAGGUAUGCAAAUGAGAUGCUUUACUUGGACCUCUCAAACAACAGAAUAGAUGGAGUCAUACCAAGUUGGAUAUGGGUGAACUGGAAGGAUACUAUAGGGUUGGACCUCUCACACAAUAUGUUCACUGGCCUUGAGAACUCUCCAUCUGUCGUUCUUAUGCACAAUUUAGAGAUUCUCGAUCUUAGUUCCAAUAAACUUCAUGGCAGUGUACCUAUACCACUCACAGCUAGCAACUCCCAAGUUUUAUUGGAUUACUCAAACAAUAAUUUCUCUUAUAUUAUACCUGACUUUGGUACAUACCUUCCAAACAAGUACUACCUUAAUUUGUCCAGGAAUAAAUUAAGUGGUCACAUACCAAGGUCGAUUUGUACCCAACAGGAACUUGAGGUCCUGGACUUAUCAUAUAACAAUUUUGGAGGCAGGGUGCCGUCCUGUCUAAUACAAAGUAGCAGCAUCUCGAUAUUGAAGUUGACAGACAAUCAUUUCCGUGGGAAAUUGCCUGGAAAUAUUGUAGAAGGAUGUAUGCUUCAGAUAAUAGAUUUAAACAGCAACCGAGUUGAAGGGAAAAUACCCAGAUCACUAUCGAAUUGCAGAAGUUUAGAGGUUCUUGACAUUGGUAGAAAUCAAAUUCUUGAUACUUUUCCAUCUUGGUUGGGUAAGAUGUCUAAUCUUCGGAUUCUUAUCUUGAGAUCCAAUCAAUUGUAUGGCUCAAUAGGAGGCCCUGCUGAAAGUGAUGCAACCAGUAAGCAUUUCUCGAGUUUGCAAAUUGUUGAUUUGACCUCAAAUAAUUUUUCUGGGAGCUUAAGUUUGAAAUGGUUUGACAAGCUAGAGACAAUGAUGGUAAACUCUACUGGUGAGGGCUAUGCUCUUGGCCUUCGAGGAUUGUACUACCAGGAAAUUCUCACAUUUAAAGGGGUUGAUCUUACAUUUACCAAGAUCCUGACCACUUUCAAGAUGAUUGAUUUCUCAAACAACGCAUUUGAUGGCCCCGUCCCAAACUCAGUUGGGAAGCUUAUUGCUCUGCAUGGCCUGAAUAUGUCAAAUAAUGCCUUCACGGGGAGAAUCCCAUCACAGCUUGGUGACUUGGUACAGCUUGAGUCACUGGACCUCUCUCGGAACAAGCUCUCAUGGGAGAUCCCACAGGAUCUAACCAGCCUAACAUAUCUUGCAGUGCUGAAUCUCUCCUCUAACAAUUUGACUGGAAUGAUACCAGAAGGGCAGCAGUUUUCGUCAUUCACCAACAGCUCGUUCGAAGGCAAUGAAGGGCUUUCUGGAAGGCCAUUAUCCAAACAGUGCAACAGUUCAGGUACGGGAACCCUCGACUCAUCAGUGUCUUCACAAGACAGUGUUGGAACCAUAGUGCUGUUUGUGCUUGUGGGAUCCGGUUUUGGAGUUGGAUUUGCGGUGGCAGUUGUGUUGUCAGUGAUUUUCCAGGCCAAACGCUGGAACUGCAAUCGUUUUCGUUCUACCAGUAAAUGA